rnacentral:rRNA from 1 species
UUGGGUGACGAGUGGCGGACGGGUGAGUAAUGUCUGGGGAUCUGCCCGAUAGAGGGGGAUAACCACUGGAAACGGUGGCUAAUACCGCAUAACGUCGCAAGACCAAAGAGGGGGACCUUCGGGCCUCUCACUAUCGGAUGAACCCAGAUGGGAUUAGCUAGUAGGCGGGGUAAUGGCCCACCUAGGCGACGAUCCCUAGCUGGUCUGAGAGGAUGACCAGCCACACUGGAACUGAGACACGGUCCAGACUCCUACGGGAGGCAGCAGUGGGGAAUAUUGCACAAUGGGCGCAAGCCUGAUGCAGCCAUGCCGCGUGUAUGAAGAAGGCCUUCGGGUUGUAAAGUACUUUCAGCGGGGAGGAAGGCGAUGGGGUUAAUAACCUUGUCGAUUGACGUUACCCGCAGAAGAAGCACCGGCUAACUCCGUGCCAGCAGCCGCGGUAAUACGGAGGGUGCAAGCGUUAAUCGGAAUUACUGGGCGUAAAGCGCACGCAGGCGGUCUGUUAAGUCAGAUGUGAAAUCCCCGGGCUUAACCUGGGAACUGCAUUUGAAACUGGCAGGCUUGAGUCUUGUAGAGGGGGGUAGAAUUCCAGGUGUAGCGGUGAAAUGCGUAGAGAUCUGGAGGAAUACCGGUGGCGAAAGGCGGCCCCCUGGACAAAGACUGACGCUCAGGUGCGAAAGGCGUGGGG